AAUAAAAUAUUAAAUAAAGUUCAAGAAAAAAACUUCUUGAAUGUAAUGUACCAAAAUCUACCUAUGCCUAAGAAUGAAGUAAUAUAAAACAAAAUUUCUUAUUGGUGUGAAAACUAUGGAGAAUGAUUUGCACGUUGUAUAUAGAUGAAUGAUGACAAUACUUGUUUGGUUAAAGGCAGUUUGCAGCCUGAAAG
rnacentral:lncRNA from 1 species